rnacentral:rRNA from 1 species
AUUGAACGCUGGCGGCAGGCUUAACACAUGCAAGUCGAGCGAGCGGCGGACGGGUGAGUAAUGUCUGGGAAACUGCCUGAUGGAGGGGGAUAACUACUGGAAACGGUAGCUAAUACCGCAUACCAUCAGAUGUGCCCAUAUGGGAUUAGCUAGUAGGUGGGGUAAAGGCUCACCUAGGCGACGCUCCCUAGCUGGUCUGAGAGGAUGACCAGCCACACUGGAACUGAGACACGGUCCAGACUCCUACGGGAGGCAGCAGUGGGGAAUAGUGCGCAAUGGGGGCAACCCUGAUGCAGCCAUGCCGCGUGAAUGAAGAAGGCCUUCGGGUUGUAAAGCACUUUCAGCGAGGAGGCGUUACUCACAGAAGAAGCACCGGCUAACUCCGUGCCAGCAGCCGCGGUAAUAC